rnacentral:scRNA from 1 species
GGAAUCAGUUCGCCGCGUUUUGUCCGAAGGUUA